rnacentral:lncRNA from 1 species
GCCAAAUGCAUGGUUUUUUAAAAAGGAAGAAGAGUAUUGGAGGACAGUUCCACAGAGGUGUUAUAAAUACCAUUUUGUGGAUGAGAAAUCAGGUGCAACGAUAUUGAGCUCUGACCUUUGAAGGAGCAUAAAGAACUAGUCAGGAAUACCUGUGUUCUUUUCCAGUGAAUUCACAGCUGGAGUCACCCUAGCAGUGGCAUCUGGGGAGUUCCCACAAGGGAGUACCGCAAGCCAUCCCAAGAUGGGACCAGUUGGAAUCCCAAAGAAAGAAGCACUAGAUGCCAGGGUGAUCAGUUCAAAUUUAUUACGAGAACUUAGGUAGAAACUGGGUUUCACCAUUUCCUCCAGAUAGGCAGUUAGGGAAAGAGGUGCUCUACCUAGCGAGGUCUGCAGCACGAGGAUCAGGGAAUGGAGUUGAUGAGAGAUUAAGGCAUUUGGCUCAGGGCCUGGCCAGUUCCUCUCAGUGUUUGGGGCAACAACCUAAACACCUUUGUAGGUGUCUGGGAAUGUUCGAAGCGAAACCUUGGGUUCCAGCCUGCAGGGCAAAUUGUGUAGCUGAUGGGGUCACAGGACAGUUGAGGCACUCUCUGUUUCUUGGUUAGGACAGAAAACGGGAAAACGGAG